AUUGAACGCUGGCGGCAUGCUUUACACAUGCAAGUCGAACGGCAGCACGGGGGCUUGCUCCUGGUGGCGAGUGGCGAACGGGUGAGUAAUGCAUCGGAACGUACCCAGUAGUGGGGGAUAGCCCGGCGAAAGCCGGAUUAAUACCGCAUAUUUCCUGAGGGAGAAAGCGGGGGACCUUCGGGCCUCGCGCUACUGGAGCGGCUGAUGUCGGAUUAGCUAGUUGGUGAGGUAAAGGCUCACCAAGGCGACGAUCCGUAGCUGGUCUGAGAGGAUGAUCAGCCACACUGGGACUGAGACACGGCCCAGACUCCUACGGGAGGCAGCAGUGGGGAAUUUUGGACAAUGGGGGCAACCCUGAUCCAGCCAUGCCGCGUGAGUGAAGAAGGCCUCGGUUGUAAG
rnacentral:rRNA from 1 species